UAGCUUUGUCCUAAGUCAAACUUCUUCGAGUUUGACCAAGUUUAUACAAAAAUCCACUAAGAUCUACAGUAUCAAAUAAGUAUAGUAUGACAAUAUAUAAAUGGCAUAUUAAUAAAACUAAUUUGGAGUUGUAGAUGUUGAUAGAUUUUGCUAUAAACUUGGUCAAACUUGAAGAAAUUUGACUUAGGAUAAAGUCAA
rnacentral:pre_miRNA from 1 species